rnacentral:tRNA from 1 species
UCCCUGGUAGUCUAGUGGUUAGGAUUCGGCGCUCUCACCUCCAUGGCUUGGGUUCGAUUCCCAGUCAGGGAA